AACGAACGCUGGCGGCAUGCCUAACACAUGCAAGUCGAACGGAACCUUCGGGUCUAGUGGCGCACGGGUGCGUAACGCCUGGGAACCUGCACGUAGGUUCGGUAUAACUCCCCGAAGGGGAUGCUAAUACCGGUUAAGCUCUUAGGACCAAGGAUUUAUCGCCUUUGGGUGGGCCCGGGUUGGAUUGGCUGGUUGGUAGGGUAAAAGCCGACCAAGGCGACGAUCCAUAGCUGGUGGGAGAGGAUGCUCAGCUACACUGGGACUGAGACACGGCCCAGACUCCUACGGAAGGGUGCAGUGGGGAAUAUUGGACGAUGGGCGAAAGUCCGAUCCAGCCACGCCGCGUAAGUGAUGCAGCCCUUAGGGUUGUAAAGCUGCUUUAGCCGGGACGAUAAUGACGGUACCGGGAGAAUAAGCACCGGCUAACUACGUG
rnacentral:rRNA from 1 species